UGCCUUGGUAGAAUGCUCCCCUUUAUAAAAAAACACUUGGCUUAUUUUCAGGAGUGAACAAUGUCGCUAACGAGCGCACAAAAAGCAGAAAUCGUGAAUGAUUACCAACGAGCUGAU
rfam:Legionella spiritensis strain Mt.St.Helens-9 Lspi_ctg012, whole genome shotgun sequence.